GAUGAACGCUGGCGGCGUGCCUAAUACAUGCAAGUCGAGCGAACGGACGAGAAGCUUUCUUCUCUGAUGUUAGCGGCGGACGGGUGAUUAACACGUGGAUAACCUACCUAUAAGACUGGGAUAACUUCGGGAAACCGUAUCUAAUACCGGAUAAUAUUUUGAACCUCAUGGUUCAAAAGUGAAAGACGUUCUUGCUGUCACUUAUAGAUAGAUCCGCGCUGCAUUAGCUAGUUGGUAAGGUAACGGCCUACCAAGGCAACGAUGCAUAGCCGACCUGAGAGGGUGAUCGGUCACACUGGAACUGAGACACGGUCCAGACUCCUACGGGAGGCAGCAGUAGGGAAUAUUCCGCAAUGGGCGAAAGCCUGACGGAGCAACGCCGCGUGAGUGAUGAAGGUCUUCGGAUCGUAAAACUCUGUUAGUAGGGAAGAACAUAUGUGUAAGUAACUGUGCAUAUCUUGACGUUACCUACAGAGAAAGCCCCGGCUAACUACGUG
rnacentral:rRNA from 1 species